rnacentral:piRNA from 1 species
ACCUCACUUCUAGGAAGCAAAAUUGUUGCC